rnacentral:rRNA from 1 species
UACGUAGGGUGCAAGCGUUAAUCGGAAUUACUGGGCGUAAAGCGUGCGCAGGCGGUUUUGUAAGUCUGUCGUGAAAUCCCCGGGCUCAACCUGGGAAUUGCGAUGGAGACUGCAAGGCUAGAAUCUGGCAGAGGGGGGUAGAAUUCCACGUGUGAGCAGUGAAAUGCGUAGAGAUGUGGAGGAACACCGAUGGCGAAGGCAGCCCCCUGGGUCAAGAUUGACGCUCAUGCACGAAAGACGUGGGGAGCAAACGAGGAUAGAGUACCCGUAGCAUCCGAAUCACCAGUUCCCCGUA